rnacentral:misc_RNA from 1 species
AUUGUAUGUUGUUCAUGUCAUGAGUAUUGACGCGAUGGAAGAAAUUGCCAGAGCUCGGAAGUCAGGUCAAAGAAUUGUUGGGGAGCCAGUCGUUUCAGGUUUACUUCUUAAUGAUUCAGUACUUUGGGAUCCUGACUUCCAUUUUGCAGCAAGGUACGUCAUGAGCCCACCAAUCAGAGCAGCAGGUCAUGGAACAGCUCUUCAAGCAGCUCUUGCUGCAGGGGUUCUGCAGCUGGUAGGAACUGAUCACUGCACCUUCAACUCAACUCAGAAAGCGCUAGGAAUUGGUGAUUUCCGGAAAAUACCAAAUGGUGUUAAUGGUAUGGAGGAGAGAAUGCAUUUGGUUUGGAAUACAAUGGUGGCUUCUGGUCAGAUAUCUGUCACUGAUUAUGUUCGCAUAACAAGCACAGAAUGUGCUCGGAUUUUCAAUAUCUAUCCAAGGAAGGGAGCAAUACUUGUUGGGUCUGAUGCAGAUAUAAUCAUUUUAAAUCCCAAUUCAAGCUUCAAGAUUAGUUCAAAGUCACACCAUUAUAGGACAGAUACCAAUGUCUAUGAGGGUUGGACAGGCAUGGGAAAGGUUGAAACUACAAUUGCAGGAGGAAGGGUUGUUUGGGAAAAUGAUGAGCUGAAAGUCAUCCCUGGUGCUGGCAAGUACAUUGAAAUGCCACCUUUCAGUUAUCUUUUUGACGGGAUAGACAAGGCAGAUGCAAAGUACCUCUCUUCCUUAAGAGCACCCGUAGAACGAUCAACGACUUGAUUUGGCAAAUUCACUUUUUCAUUAUGAGGAAGAGGAAUAGAAAGUCUCUCUCUAUUUACUUGUAAAUACAGAAUAUCCUUAAGGACAUUCAAACUCUUGCAGUUGCUGAAAAACCCUUGGUCACAUAAUGCUAUUUAUAAAACUUAUGUUUAUUCCGUAAAGGAUGUUAUACAUUGGUGUAUAGCUG